UGCAAGUCGAACGGAACUCUUUGAUCAAGACUUCGGUCAAGUGAGAUUGAGUUUAGUGGCGGACGGGUGAGUAACGCGUGAGGAACCUGCCUCGGAGUGGGGAAUAACACAGUGAAAAUUGUGCUAAUACCGCAUAAUGCAGUUGAGUCGCAUGGCUCUGACUGCCAAAGAUUUAUCGCUCUGAGAUGGCCUCGCGUCUGAUUAGCUAGUUGGCGGGGUAACGGCCCACCAAGGCGACGAUCAGUAGCCGGUCUGAGAGGAUGAACGGCCACAUUGGGACUGAGACACGGCCCAAACUCCUACGGGAGGCAGCAGUGGGGAAUCUUCCGCAAUGGGCGCAAGCCUGACGGAGCAACGCCGCGUGAGUGAAGAAGGUUUUCGGAUCGUAAAGCUCUGUUGAGAGGGACGAGAGAUAUAAUCAGGAAAUGGGUUAUAGAGGACGGUACCUUUCGAGGAAGCCACGGCUAACUACGUG
rnacentral:rRNA from 1 species